CAGGUCCAUGCCAAACUCUCUGGAUAUGAAGGAUUUGGUGCCAAGAGGAUUCCCUCCACACAGUAGACUUCAUGUGACAUGAGCUCGUGAUAUCCAGGAAGCAGUACACAAUCUACAAGCUUGCGUCUUAUGGUGGAAUGAGGCGGAAGCGCGGGCGCAAUGUGGCGGUGGUGGAUACAGAAACAUCCCCAAGGGCCUUUGCUUGGGUUGUAGUGCCGAUGCGGAUACUUGUGUCUUGACUGCUGGCUUUCUGUAGACGCCCGCGUUGAAAUUCGACUUUUUGUGGUCCGUUUUUGCGACUGUCCAGUCACCUUUGCAGGCAUCUCGAGCGAGGCGUUGACACUUGGCAGCUCAUUCUCGUUCACCUCAUCGGCCUGGUCAAGGUAGCAUUGCGCGGAAUGAUCAUCCGGUAUUCUUUCUGUUUCUACGUCGCGAGAAAUAAGUGGCGUUCUGAACGACCAGGCAGCCCUUACUGACAAGAAACAGAGAAGGCAAAAAUAGAUUGUCGUCAGGUACGAAUUCCAGUUGGUGAAAUACAGAAGCAUAGGCCAGCCCAGAUCCUUCUUUACGUCACGGGACGCAAGGACCUCGAGUACCAACAAAACAACACACAGAAAAAGUCGGAUGACGACCAGCGAAGCUACAUCAAUUAAGUUGGGGAAGUAUGAGGAAACAAAAACCUGCCGCCAGUCGCGGUGAUGUAAAUCACACGACCAAAAGCGCUUGGUGAGGCGGAUCUCGUAGCGCAGGUGAGCACAGUAAGAAGGGUAGGAUAUCGCAAAUGGAACUCGAUCCAAAGCCGGGUUUUGCGAAAUGGAGCUCGACUGUUCAUUCUUUGUUACGUUUUCUUCUGGUGAUCGUUCCACAUCUCUUGCCCCUGCCCCAUCGUCCUCGCCCUCAUUGGCUGACCGGCUGAAUCGCCGAGGACUCGCUUCCGUGGAUGAAUUUUUCGCAAUAUUCUCUUCCCAGCCCCAGAAAAUCCUCGAAAUAUCCUGCAACGGCAAUACGGGGUUGGCGUUUCUGCUUGCUUGGUCGCUGCAAUCGACACCGCCGCCCAACGAUCCGGGUUCGCCCUGUUGAGAAGAGGGAGUUCUUUCCUCCCGAUAGCGUGACAAUUGUUCAACUGGCUCUCCGUGUUCACACAGGCGCGAGGUGUUUAAUUCUUCAUCUGCCUCACUCUCCCCUAUCUGUACCAGGCCGGAGUCUGUCGCAGGCAUGCAAAUCUCGGCAGCGGCCUCCAGUAUUUGAGGUUGUGCCCCGAGCUCGUGUUCGCGUUCCUCCAUCGUCUAAAAAAGGUCGGUUCGUAUGAGAAAAAACAACUCGGACAACGUGUUUCACGAUAGAAUGUUUCGUUUGGUAGGGAAGGCUUGUGAACGUUGUGGGUUCUCGCUAGUCGCCCAACACAGAAACCAGAAACCUGUAUUCACUCGACAAGAACUGGAUGUUGUGGGCUUUCUUUCCUGUUCAGCAGAUUCUCAUUCAAGUCACCUGCUGUCCAACCGACGUCUGUCUAUGUAGACCGCAGGCGGAUCGGUUAGAACAGUCUGAUUAGAUCAAUCUGAGUGUUGCCUCAGGUGUUUUUCCAAUUGGAGUCUAACGAACAGAACCGAAAAAACCAAGAGACAGGGAACGAUUUUUUCCAGAUAACAGUUUUCCGUAUUGCUCUGCUUGCCAAGCAAAUGACAAAAGAUGACGGACAAAGAAAGAAAAAAUGUUGAGGCAGAUGGUGUAACACAUUCGGAAGACAACGAUCGAUCCAAGACAAAGGCAGGAAUGUUCAAAGCAUUUUCCUCCAGACUACGUUUGGCUCGCGGUCGGUAGAGGCAAGCGUAUUUACCAAAGAAUGAUAUAUAUAAUGCGGAAGACCACACAUGUCAGCCAAGCAAAUCCGGACCAAAAAGGUUAAGCUGUCGUUGCCUGGUGUCUUGCAUCGUUGGUCAAAAAUGCAGCCAAACACACAUCGUUACUAGAACGGGAUGUAUAUGUUGCACUGCCAAUGCAGAAUGUUCUCAAGACGCUCCCAGGCAUCAGCAGCUAGAGAGACCGGAGAACGCUGAAACUGGAAAAAGAAAGACACAAAGUUGUUACCCAACGAAUGCUGUUCUUCUUCUUUGGUUCACGAUAACAUUUUUGUCUAAAGGAUGAGCGUCAGGGUGCCGUUCAAAAUAGAUGUUCGUUCUACCGUGGCCCGUCAGUGGCAGCUAGCCGACCGCAGAUUCGACGGUCUCGCCACGCUGUGUUUUCUCUUUCUUCGAUGCCCAUCAUUAUGCCCGGUCACACUCCAGAAGUUCGAGAAACAGCCUGCUGAUUGCGAAUAUGGUCCCCCAAUCAAAACGGAUGCGGUGGGAGCAUCAUCGUUUUUCCCCUCAACGCAGAGUCGAACGACUCCCGAGACUUCCUUGGAGAACUGGAUUUCACGCUACCACUGUCUGCGAU
rnacentral:lncRNA from 1 species